ensembl:lncRNA
CUCUCACUCUAUCCAUCUUUUUUCUUUUUCACUUGCUCACUCCCCCUCACUCUCAUUCCCUCCUCUCUCUCCUACCCACCCACCCUCGCUCCAUCCCUCUACCUCUCCCACCCUCUCUCUCCGUCUCUCUCUGUAUCAGUCAGUGUAGCCUGCACAUGGUAAGCAGACACACACUCCUCUUCUCUCUCUUCUGUUGAUGCUACAAAUCCCACCAUCCACCUGGAGAAAGACAAAAAAAAUAGAGAGGAGUAAAACGAUAGAGAGAUAAGAGGAUAAAUGAAAACAGGAGGACUGCUGACAAGGAGGACAGGAAAAAACCUACAGAGGGAAUUAUCUCCACCGGUGUUUUUCCACGUUCCUCGUUUAACGUUUUCUUCCUCUCCUCUUCAUCCCUCUCUUCUUCUUUACUCCGGGAUUAAAAUGAAUUAAAAUGCAAUCUACGGACAGAGAGAUCUGGACAGAGGUAGAGAUGGAAGAAGGGAUGAAUAAAGAGAGAGGAUUUGUUCUCUGAAGAGAUUCUGAGCUGUACAGCUGGUGAGAGAACGAGAAAGACAGCGACAGAGCGAGAGAGCGAGAGUGAGAGAGAGAGCAUGAGAGGGUUGCCUGUUUUUCCGAGUUGCAGCGUGUCACAUGGACCGGGAGAUACGGGAGAGAGGAUACGACAUUCUGGGAUUCUGUGAUUCCAAACGGAAGGAUACGGUGAACUAGAUGAACAACAACAAGAACCACCUCCUUCCUCUUUCUAUCCGGCUCGUGAUUCGACCCACCAAGGGAACCAGGAACCAGGAACCAGGAAUCAGGAACCAGGAACCAGGAACCAGGAACCAGGAACAAGGAACAGGAACCAGGAACCAGGAACCAGGAACCAGGAACAGGAACCAGGAACAGGAAUCUUCGGUGGUGAAAAACAUCAUGUAUUAUUAUAUACAAUAUGAAGAAGGAAUAUUCCAGAAAAGUUUACGGUACUGGGAUGUGGAAUAGAAGAGGGCUGCUGACAGACGGAGGAAACGACUGAAGGAAAGGAGGAGAGAGACAGAGGAGAGGGAAGAAACGACUGAAGGAAAGGAGGAAGAGAGAGACAGAGGAGAGGGAGGAAACGACUGAAGGAAAGGAGAGAGAGACAGAGGAGAGGGAGGAAACGACUGAAGGAAAGAGAGAGAGAGAGACAGAGGAGAGGGAGGAAACGACUGAAGGAAAGGAGAGAGAGAGACAGAGAAGAGGGAGGAAACGACUGAAGGAAAGGAGAGACAGAGACAGAGGAGAGGGAGGAAACGACUGAAGGAAAGGAAAGAGAGAGACAGAGGAGAGGGAGGAAACGACUGAAGGAAAGGAGAGAGAGAGACAGAGGAGAGGGAGGAAACGACUGAAGGAAAGGAGAGAGAGAGACAGAGGAGAGGGAGGAAACGACUGAAGGAAAGGAGAGACAGAGACUGAGGAGAGGGAGGAAACGACUGAAGGAAAGGAGAGAGAGAGACAGAGGAGAGGGAGGAAAGAGAUUGACAUACUGCCCGAUCGAGAUCUGUCUAUCCUACGUUCCAUGAUAUCACAAGAUUCCCCUAACAGGAUAUGGCAAACAGGAAAGACUGCUCCUCAUUUAGUGAGUUUCUGAAUAAUGAGAUUGAAU